rnacentral:rRNA from 1 species
GAUGAACGCUGGCGGCGUGCCUAAUACAUGCAAGUCGAGCGAACGGACGAGAAGCUUGCUUCUCCGAUGUUAGCGGCGGACGGGUGAGUAACACGUGGAUAACCUACCUAUAAGACUGGGAUAACUUCGGGAAACCGGAGCUAAUACCGGAUAAUAUUUUGAACCGCAUGGUUCAAAAGUGAAAGACGGUCUUGCUGUCACUUAUAGAUGGAUCCGCGCUGCAUUAGCUAGUUGGUAAGGUAACGGCUUACCAAGGCAACGAUGCAUAGCCGACCUGAGAGGGUGAUCGGCCACACUGGAACUGAGACACGGUCCAGACUCCUACGGGAGGCAGCAGUAGGGAAUCUUCCGCAAUGGGCGAAAGCCUGACGGAGCAACGCCGCGUGAGUGAUGAAGGUCUUCGGAUCGUAAAACUCUGUUAUUAGGGAAGAACAUAUGUGUAAGUAACUGUGCACAUCUUGACGGUACCUAAUCAGAAAGCCACGGCUAACUACGUGCCAGCAGCCGCGGUAAUACGUAGGUGGCAAGCGUUAUCCGGAAUUAUUGGGCGUAAAGCGCGCGUAGGCGGUUUUUUAAGUCUGAUGUGAAAGCCCACGGCUCAACCGUGGAGGGUCAUUGGAAACUGGAAAACUUGAGUGCAGAAGAGGAAAGUGGAAUUCCAUGUGUAGCGGUGAAAUGCGCAGAGAUAUGGAGGAACACCAGUGGCGAAGGCGACUUUCUGGUCUGUAACUGACGCUGAUGUGCGAAAGCGUGGGGAUCAAACAGGAUUAGAUACCCUGGUAGUCCACGCCGUAAACGAUGAGUGCUAAGUGUUAGGGGGUUUCCGCCCCUUAGUGCUGCAGCUAACGCAUUAAGCACUCCGCCUGGGGAGUACGACCGCAAGGUUGAAACUCAAAGGAAUUGACGGGGACCCGCACAAGCGGUGGAGCAUGUGGUUUAAUUCGAAGCAACGCGAAGAACCUUACCAAAUCUUGACAUCCUUUGACAACUCUAGAGAUAGAGCUUUCCCCUUCGGGGGACAAAGUGACAGGUGGUGCAUGGUUGUCGUCAGCUCGUGUCGUGAGAUGUUGGGUUAAGUCCCGCAACGAGCGCAACCCUUAAGCUUAGUUGCCAUCAUUAAGUUGGGCACUCUAAGUUGACUGCCGGUGACAAACCGGAGGAAGGUGGGGAUGACGUCAAAUCAUCGUGCCCCUUAUGAUUUGGGCUACACACGUGCUACAAUGGACAAUACAAAGGGCAGCGAAACCGCGAGGUCAAGCAAAUCCCAUAAAGUUGUUCUCAGUUCGGAUUGUAGUCUGCAACUCGACUACAUGAAGCUGGAAUCGCUAGUAAUCGUAGAUCAGCAUGCUACGGUGAAUACGUUCCCGGGUCU